UACGUAGGGGGCAAGCGUUGUCCGGAUUUAUUGGGCGUAAAGAGUGUGUAGGCGGCCAGACAGGUCCGUUGUGAAAACUCGAGGCUCAACCUCGAGACGCCGAUGGAAACCGUCUGGCUAGAGUCCGGAAGGAGGAGAGUGGAAUUCCUGGUGUAGCGGUGAAAUGCGCAGAUAUCAGGAAGAACACCCGUGGCUAAGGCGGCUCUCUAGUACGGUACUGACGCUGAGACGCGAAAGCGUGGGGAGCGAACAGG
rnacentral:rRNA from 1 species